rnacentral:rRNA from 1 species
UGGGGAAUAUUGCACAAUGGGCGCAAGCCUGAUGCAGCGACGCCGCGUGAGGGAUGACGGCCUUCGGGUUGUAAAACCUCUUUCAAUAGGGACGAAGCGCAAGUGACGGUACCUAUAGAAGAAGGACCGGCCAACUACGUGCCAGCAGCCGCGGUAAUACGUAGGGUCCGAGCGUUGUCCGGAAUUACUGGGCGUAAAGAGCUCGUAGGUGGUUUGUCGCGUUGUUCGUGAAAACUCACAGCUUAACUGUGGGCGUGCGGGCGAUACGGGCAGACUAGAGUACUGCAGGGGAGACUGGAAUUCCUGGUGUAGCGGUGGAAUGCGCAGAUAUCAGGAGGAACACCGGUGGCGAAGGCGGGUCUCUGGGCAGUAACUGACGCUGAGGAGCGAAAGCGUGGGGAGCGAACAGGAUUAGAUACCCUGGUAGUCCACGCCGUAAACGGUGGGUACUAGGUGUGGGUUUCCUUCCUUGGGGAUCCGUGCCGUAGCUAACGCAUUAAGUACCCCGCCUGGGGAGUACGGCCGCAAGGCUAAAACUCAAAGGAAUUGACGGGGUCAUAGCUGUUUCCU